UCCCAAGGGAACUCAAGUGUAUCAGAUCGC
rnacentral:piRNA from 1 species